AGUAAGGGUGAGAGGAGGCUGCAACGCCGAGCAGAGGAGGCAGGAACCGGAGCGCCAGCAGAAGCUGGGUGGGCACCAUGGCUGGGAUCACCACCAUCGAGGCAGUGAAGCUCAAGAUCCAGGUUCUGCAGCAGCAGGCAGAUGAUGCAGAGGAGCGAGCUGAGCGCCUCCAACGAGAAGUUGAAGGAGAAAGGCGGGCCCGGGAACAGCCUGAGGCUGAGGUGGCCUCCUUGAACCAUAGGAUCCAGCUGGUUGAAGAGGAGCUGGACUGUGCUCAGGAGCGCCUGGCCACAGCCCUACAAAAACUGGAAGAAGUGGAAAAAGCUGUUGAUGAGAGUGAGAGAUGUAUGAAGGUUAUUUCAUACACGGGCCUUAAAAGAUGAAGAAAAGAUGAAACUCCAGGAAAUCCAACUCAAAGAAGCUAAGCACAUUGCAGAAGAGGCAGAUAGGAAGUAUGAAGAGGUGGCUCGUAAGUUGGUGAUCAUUGAAGGAGACUUGGAACGCACAGAGGAACAAGCUGAGCUGGCAGAGUCCCGUUGCCGAGAGAUGGAUGAGCAGAUUAGACUGAUGGACCAGAACCUGAAGUGUCUGAGUGCUGUUGAAGAAAAGUACUCUCAAAAAGAAGACAAAUAUGAGGAAGAGAUCAAGAUUCUUACUGAUAAACUCAAGGAGGCAGAGACCCGUGCUGAGUUUGCUGAGAGAUCGGUAGCCAAGCUGGAAAAGACAAUUGAUGACUUGGAAGAUAAAUUGAAAUGCACCAAAGAGGAGCACCUUUGGAUGCUGGACACAAAGGAUGCUGGACCAGACUCUGCUUGACCUGAAUGAGAUGUUGAAUGCCCCAGUCCCACCCUGCUGCUGCUCCUCCCUCUGACCCAGACUCCGCCUGAGGCCAGCUUGCCGGAAGCUGACCUUUAACUGAGGGCUGAUCUUUAACUGGAAGGCUGCUUUCUCCUUUCGCCGCCCCCUCCUUCCCUGUGUCUUUUUCGCCAAAUUGUCUCUGCCUUUUUUCCGGACAUUCCAGCUGGGCUAGAGGCUGAGCACCUUCAGAAACAACAUUUAAGGGAAUGUGAGCACAAUGCAUAAUGUGUUUAAAACGCAUGUUGUGAUUUACACAUUUUGUAAUUACCUUUUUGUUGCUUUGUAGCAAACAUUUGUAAAACAUUCAAAAUAAUUCCACAGCCCUGAAGCAGCAAUCGAAUCCCUUUCUCACUUUUGGAAGGUGACUUUUCACCUUAGUGCAUAUUCCCCUCUCCAUAGAGGAGAGGAAAAGGUAUAGGCCUGCCUCACUGAGAGCCAAACAGAGCCCAGGGAGACUCCACUAUGGGAAACCUCAUUGCUCUGUACAAAGUACUAGCUAAACCAGAAAGGUGAUUCCAGGAGGAGUUGGCCAAACAACAAAAACAAAAACUGUGCUGUUCAAGUUCUCAGCUUUAAGAUAUCUUUGGAUAAUGUUAUUUCUAUUUUUAUUUUUUUUCAUUAGAAGUGACCAAAUUAAGAUGGUAAGACCUCUGAGACCAAAAUUUUGUCCCAUCUCUACCCCCUCCCAACUGCUUAACAGAAUGGAUCAUGCCCCCUUAUGUUGAGGUGACCACUUAAUUGCUUUCCUGCCUCCUUGAAAGAAA